rnacentral:rRNA from 1 species
GACAGAGGCCUCAAGCGUUAGGCGGAAUCACUGGGCUUAAAGCGUGUGUAGGCGGAUCGUUAAGUGUCUUGUGAAAUCCCACGGCUCACCCCGUGGAACGGCUGGGCAUACUGGCGAUCUUGGGCCAACUAGGGGCAACUGGAACAAGCGGUGGAGCGGUGAAAUGCGUAGAUAUCGCUUGGAACGCCAAAGGUGAAAAACAGGUUGC